GCGGAAAUGGCGGAAUUGGUAGACGCACCAGAUUUAGGUUCUGGCGCCGCAAGGUGUGAGAGUUCAAGUCUCUCCUUCCGCACCA
rnacentral:tRNA from 17 species